rnacentral:lncRNA from 1 species
CUGGGGCUUUAUGCUAACUUGGCUAUUCCUUCCUGGACUUCAUUCUUCCUCACUCUCCAAAUUAAGCCUUUUUCUAAUAGAAAGACCUGAAAAAUUAUUCCAAGGGCAAGAAUUUGGCAACUCUCCCUGAACGCACAACACAUGCUUUGCAGGUUUUUUUUUUUUUUAUGUUCCACAGAACAGCCACCUGUUCACUCCACCCACCUCUGGGCGCCUGGCCACAGGGCUCAUGAGCAGAGAGACGGGACCAGUCACCAGCCUGCCUCACUGGGCAGAGGUUGUCAGCGGCUUUGUCUAUCCCCCAGCCCCCCUGCUCCAUCCUUAGAUUUCCAGGCCCCCAGGAAGCCUGCAUGGUGUAAAGUUACAGCCAAUUCACCUGAUUGGAAUCUGUUGUCAGGGACUUCAGAAAUGUCCCUCAGGGACCACAGUGCAAUCUGAGCAGGAGAAAUCCAGGAGGUGCCUUGUGCAGGAGCCGGAAUUUUCAACAGUGUGGGGCUGAACUGGAAGGCGAAUUACUUUUGUUCUUUUUUCUUGGGCCACUGCAGAAAGUAUUUUUAUUUUAUCACAUACACAUUUUCCUCCUUCCCCUGAUCAUGAACCAGAACAUUUUUAUAGCUAGGAGGAGUUUUAGGGAUUUUCUAGUUAUUUCUCAUUUUAAAACAGUGGGCCAUGGAGCUAAAAGCCGAGUUUUCUGAUUCUGAGAAUUGUUCAAAGGAACCACUUAGCUCUACCCAGCUAUGGCACAUGCAGCAGUAGGCUCCCUGCUCCCACUGAGGGGCAAAUUCAUGCCCAAGAACCUUCUUCCUCAGAUUUUGUGGAUGUGAAUUCUUUUAGAGAAGCCUCUUGAGAGACCCUUGGACAGCAAGAUGAUCAAACCAGUCAAUCCUAAAGGAAAUCAACCCUAAUAUUCAUUGGAAGGACUGAUGCUGAAGCUGAAGCUCCAAUACUUUGGCCACCUGACUCUUUUUGGAAAAGACCCUGAUGCUGGGAAAGAUUGAGGGCAAGAGGAGAAGGGGGGUGACAGAGGAUGAGAUGGUUGGAUGGCAUCACCAAUUCAAUGAAUAUGAGUUUGAGCUAACUCCAGGAGACGGUGAAGGACAGGGAAGCCUGGUGUGCUUCAGUCCAUGUGGUCACAAAGAGUUGGACACAACUGAGCAACUGUUCAACAAACCUAGGGGCUCAGUGCCAAGCACUGAGCUCAGGACGAGCCCCUCCGUCAAUAGAAGCAGAUAAUGGAGGUGACCGUCAUCCAUAGAGGCUGCCAUGAGCUUGGCCACUUCCCAUGUGAUCACUUGGUAAUCGUCACCACAGUCUUAUGAAACAGGCAUCGGAUUCCUGCCUGAGGAAUCAGAUUUGUAAGCAACCUUCCCCUGGGGGUGGGAGAAUCAGGCUUCACGCCCAGAUUCCAAGGCUGGCCUAACUGCCUCUCCAGACCCUG